AACGUUAGCCCCUAGCAAUAGGGGCGAAAGUGGCGAACGGGUGAGUAACACGUAGGUAACCUGCCGCGCAGAGGGGGAUAACCACUGGAAACGGUGGCUAAGACCGCAUGGUACUGUGGAGAUGGGAAUCUCCACAGUUAAAACCUUGGUGCUGCGCGAGGGGCCUGCGUCCGAUUAGUUAGUUGGUGAGGUAACGGCUCACCAAGACGAUGAUCGGUAGCUGGUCUGAGAGGAUGAUCAGUCACACGGGAACUGAGACACGGUCCCGACUCCUACGGGGGGCAGCAGUGAGGAAUAUUGCACAAUGGACGCAAGUCUGAUGCAGCAACGCCGCGUGGAGGAUGAAGGUCUUUGGAUCGUAAACUCCUUUUCUCAGGGAAGACAAAAGACGGUACCUGAGGAAUAAGUCACGGCUAACUACGUGCCAGCAGCCGCGGUAAUACGUAGGUGGCAAGCGUUA
rnacentral:rRNA from 1 species